AAGGCCUACCAAGGCGAAGACGGGUAGGGGGUGUGAGAGCACGGCCCCCCACAAUGGGACUGAGACACGGCCCAUACUCCUACGGGAGGCAGCAGCAGGGAAUAUUGCACAAUGGACGGAAGUCUGAUGCAGCGACGCCGCGUGAGUGAAGAAGGCCUUCGGGUUGUAAAACUCUUUUGAGGGGGAAGAGCGAGGACGGUACCCCUGGAAUAAGCGUCGGCUAACUACGUGCCAGCAGCCGCGGUAAGACGUAGGACGCGAGCGUUAUCCGGAUUUACUGGGCGUAAAGCGUCUGUAGGCGGAUGUGUAAGUUGGGCGUGAAAGCUCCGGGCUUAACCCGGAGAGGCCGUUCAAUACUGCAUAACUUGAGGGUGUCAGAGGGGAGCGGAAUUCCCGGUGUAGCGGUAAAAUGCGCAGAGAUCGGGAGGAACACCAGUGGCGGAGGCGGUUCCCUGGGGCACACCUGACGCUGAGAGACGAAAGCUAGGGGAGCGAACAGGAUUAGAGACCCUGGUAGUCCUAGCCCUAAACGAUGAAUGCUAGGUGUGGGAUCGAAUGGUUCCGUGCCGGAGCGAACGCGAUAAGCAUUCCGCCUGGGGAGUACGGCCGCAAGGUUAAAACUCAAACGAAUUGACGGGGCCCCGCACAAGCAGCGGAGCGUGUGGUUUAAUUCGAUGCUACACGAAGAACCUUACCUGGGUUUGACAUGUAGGUGGUAGUGAAUCGAAAGGUGAACGACCCUUCGGGGAGCCUACACAGGUGCUGCAUGGCUGUCGUCAGCUCGUGCCGUGAGGUGUCGGGUUAAGUCCCGUAACGAGCGCAACCCUUGCUCCUAGUUACAAGUGUCUAGGGGGACUGCCGGCGGAAAGCCGGAGGAAGCUGGGGAUGACGUCAAGUCAGCAUGGCCCUUAUAUCCAGGGCUACACACACGCUACAAUGGUCGGUACAAAGGGCAGCGAAACCGCGAGGCGGAGCGAAUCCGUGAAAAGCCGAUCGUAGUUCGGAUAGCAGGCUGCAACCCGCCUGCUUGAAGCUGGAGUUGC
rnacentral:rRNA from 1 species